GCGUUUGUUAUGGUGCCCGUGUCCCCACCCCCGCCGGGAAGCUCAGUUUCCUGGUCUUUGAACCUACCAGGCGGGAUCCGAAGGAACCCCGCCGCUGCAAGGCGUCCCACCCUUCCUUGCAGACAGUGCGGUGGAGAAAGCAGGGCUCCUGGUGGCCGAGCGCACGUGGGGUUAGGCAAGAACAUUCCAACCUCCAGCGUCUCACGUACUCGGUGCUCUCCAAUGCGGCCGACAGAAAGGAAGGAGUGCGGGCGAAGCCCCGCGCACAGUGAGACUUCCACCCCAAGGUAUCUGCAGGCCCGUGGGCCACCGGCCUCAGAUGAAGAAGAAUCCCAGGCCUAGGACCUCAUCCACACUGUUGACCUCUCAGAGUAACUGACAGACACCACGAGUGGAAGGAAGCAUGGCCACUGCUAAUGCCUGCACACCUGACCCCUUUGCCCUGGCAAACACCGUUAUGAUUUUGGAACGUGUACCUGCCAGUGGAGGGUUGGCAAUUUGGCCCCCCAGUGUAAGGAAUAAUUCCUCCCUAAAGUCAAGGCGUUAACAUGUUUGUCAUGUCUAGACAAUGAAUGGCCUCCCUCAUUUCCAAGCCUCUUCGUUUGGUCUCUGAUACUGCUCCAAACACAUGCAGCUUUCAGGCAUUUCCUCCAAUGCCCACAAUUCAGGGGCGUGCCCCUCAGGCUUCAGAAUCCCCCCCCAAAUUACCUUGGGCUUCCUGAAAAGUGUAGAAAGGAGGAUGUGGGCCUCUUCACCUAGUUCUGAAGGCUUGGCCUCAUUCUGCAGCUUGCGUAAUGAAUCACCACAAAUUAGAGAGAACACCUUGUGUAACAGAAGUCUGGGCUGGAGGGAAGAGCCACCUGGCUGCAGGCCUGAGUUUCUGUUUCAAACCCAGGUCCAAGGGGGAAAUGCCAACCAUGGUGUACCUCCACAGUUUUCCUGUGAUUCCAUUAUUUCUUAUUUCCAUUCUCUUCCUUCUCCAUAGUCAUGCAUCUAAUUCCUUUAUUCAGCAAUAUUAUUUACCCCUACUAUAUAUCAGGCUCUGUGUUAAGGGAUGCGAUACUGACACUAAAGAUAAUGGUAGUAAUCUUAUUAACUGCCAAAUACUGUGCUAAAAAGCUUUACCUGCACUAUCCCAUUCAACUCUUACAACAACUCUACAAAAAAGGGACUAUUUACACCCCAUUUUACAGAUUAUAAAUCUGAAGUUCUAAGAAUAAGACAUUUGUGAGAACUUCUGGAUAAGGUGGCAAAAUGACACUUAGAUUAAAGGAUCUCUCCCCUUCCCUCCCCGCCCCCCAACAUUUUAUACAAUGAACAGCAAAAGUAAAAACAGCAAAACAGUAAAAACAAACAAACAAAACACCAGCAAUUUUCACUUUAGGUAUGGACAAAUAAGCACCUACCAGCUUAUCUGUUCCCCCACAGAUAACAACUAUGAACUUAGACAAAAUACAAAAAACAACCACCUGAAGGCACAAGAAAUUAAAUAGCAGUAAACAGAUUCUGGAAGGAGUCAAAUCUUGGAAUAAUGUAAUAGCAAAAGGUGAAUUACCUAUUUUCCUAAGUUUUUAGCUUGUGAACAGGAUGAGAUCAGCACCAUGUGAGGUGGCUAAAACUUGGAUUAAAAAAAAAAAUCCAUAGUCUUUUGGCCUAAAGAACAAGAGGACAGAGUAUGCUGAAAAGUACGAGGGGAGGAGAAAUAUUGGAAAGGAAUGAUCCAAAGAAAGAGAGAGGUCCGAAUUCUGUGUAUAAACUCUGAUCAAGCUUCUGUCAGAUCCUGAACCACACAAACAUAAGUAAAACUCAAAGAAGCCACGCUAAAGAUAGGGGAGCUGAGUUGAGAGUCAAGCUGUUCCCCAAAUGACAGAGUUUUACAGUUUGCAUCCAUCUAAGUUCAUUUGCUUACAAAAACAAAACAUCAACACUAUCAGAGGACUAUCGUGAGAUCUAGAAUCCCCAUAACAUCACGUUCAUAAUUGCUAAGAUACACUGCAGAAUUAUACAACAAACAAAGA